rnacentral:sRNA from 1 species
CUCAACCAAAUCCCAGGAGAUGAGAACCCUAUUUUCCUCCCUUCGGAUGCAAAAUACGACUGGCUUUUGGCCAAAAUCUGGGUGCGUUCCAGUGACUUCCACGUCCACCAGACCAUCACCCACCUUCUGCGAACACAUCUGGUGUCUGAGGUUUUUGGCAUUGCAAUGUACCGCCAGCUGCCUGCUGUGCACCCCAUUUUCAAGCUGCUGGUGGCACACGUGAGAUUCACCAUUGCAAUCAACACCAAGGCCCGUGAGCAGCUCAUCUGCGAGUGUGGCCUCUUUGACAAGGUGGGUGCCCUCCUACCCUACUUGUUGCCUGGAAGAGCCCAGCCUGGCUGCCUUCACUCCCUAUCUGAGAUCUAGAUGCCCUUUCAGGAGGCCUGGAAGGGUGAAGGCUGGAGUCUGCUCAGAGCACUGGCUCCAGCAUCCUCCUGAUGUCUGCA